AGUGAACGCUGGCGGUAGGCCUAACACAUGCAAGUCGAACGGCAGCACAGUAAGAGCUUGCUCUUACGGGUGGCGAGUGGCGGACGGGUGAGGAAUACAUCGGAAUCUACUUUUUCGUGGGGGAUAACGUAGGGAAACUUACGCUAAUACCGCAUACGACCUACGGGUGAAAGCAGGGGAUCUUCGGACCUUGCGCGAUUGAAUGAGCCGAUGUCGGAUUAGCUAGAUGGCGGGGUAAAGGCCCACCAAGGCGACGAUCCGUAGCUGGUCUGAGAGGAUGAUCAGCCACACUGGAACUGAGACACGGUCCAGGCUCCUACGGGAGGCAGCAGUGGGGAAUAUUGGGCAAUGGGCGCAAGCCUGAUCCAGCCAUACCGCGUGGGUGAAGAAGGCCUUCGGGUUGUAAAGCCCUUUUGUUGGGAAAGAAAAGCAGCAGGUUAAUACCCCGCUGUUCUGACGGUACCCAAAGAAUAAGCACCGGCUAACUUCGUG
rnacentral:rRNA from 1 species